rnacentral:rRNA from 1 species
AGCGAACGCUGGCGGCAGGCCUAACACAUGCAAGUCGAACGAACUCUUCGGAUUUAGUGGCGGACGGGUGAGUAACACGUGGGAACGUGCCUUUAGGUUCGGAAUAACUCAGGGAAACUUGAGCUAAUACCGGAUGUGCCCUUCGGGUGCAAGAUUUAUCGCCUUUAGAGCGGCCCUCGUCUGAUUAGGUAGUUGGUGAGGUAAAGCCUCACCAAGGCGACGAUCAGUAGCUGGUCUGAGAGGAUGAUCAGUCACAUUGGGACUGAGACACGGCCCAAACUCCUACGGGAGGCAGCAGUGGGGGAUCUUGCGCAAUGGGCGAAAGCCUGACGCAGCCAUGCCGCGUGAAUGGUGAAGGUCUUAGGAUUGUAAAAUUCUUUCACCGGGGACGAUAAUGACGGUACCCGGAGAAGAAGCCCCGGCUAACUUCGUG